ensembl:lncRNA
UUACACAGGUGCACCUUGUGCUGGGGGGGCAAUAAAAUACCACUUUUUUAUGUACAGUUUUGUCACACAACACAAUGCAACAGAUGUCUCAAGUUUCGAGGGAUAGUGCAAUUGGCAUGCUGACUGCAGGAAUGUCCAACAGAGCCAGUUAAUUAAAGUUAAUUUCUCCACAUAAAUUGCCUAUAAUGUUUUAGAUCAUAUGGCAGUACAUCCAACUGGCCUCACAACCACAGACCACGUGUAUGGCGUUGUGUGGCGGCAGUGGGGUUAUGGUAUGGGCAAGCACAAGAUACAGACAACGAACACAAUUGCAUUUUAUCAAUGACAAUUUGAAUGCAGAGAUACUGUGACGAUAUCCAGAGGCCCAUUGUUUCAGCAUGAUAAUGUACGGCCCCAUGUCGCAAGGAUUUGUACACAAUUCAUGGAAGAUGAAAAUGCCUCAAUUGGCAUACAUGGCAUACAUACUCACCAGACAUUUCACUCAUUGAGCAUGUUAGGGGUGCUCUUGAUCGGCGUGUAAGACAGCGUGUUCCAGUUCCUGCCAAUAUCCAACAACUUCGCACAGCCUUUGAGGAGGAGCAGGACAACAUUCCACAGACCACAAUCAACAGCCUGAUCAACUCUAUGCGAAGGAGAUGUGUCACACUGCAUGAGGCAAAUGGUAGCCACACCAGAUACUCACUGGUCCACACUUUCUGAUCCACACCCCUACUUUUUUUGUUGUGGUAUUUUAACCCCUUUUUCUCCCCAAUUUCGAUCGUGUUUCAUCGCUGCAACUCCCCAACAGGCUAGGGAGAGGUGAAGGUCGAGUCAUGCGUCCUCCGAAACAUGACUCGCUCAAACCACACUUCUUAACACCCACCCGAUUAACUCGGAAGCCAACUCCAACCAUCAGCCUGCAGGUGCCUGGCCCCCACAAGGAGUUGCUAGAGUGCAAUGAGCCAAAUAAAGCCCCGGCCAAAUCCUCCCCUAACCCGGACCACGCUGGGCCAAUUGUGUGCCAUCCUAUGGGACUCCCGGUCGCGGCCGGUUGUGACGCAGCCUGGGAUCGAACUCGGGUCUGUAGUGAUGCCUCAAGCACUACGACGCAGUGUGCCACUCGGGACGCCACCCGUACCUUUUUUUGAGGUACCUGUGACCAACAGAUGCAUAUCUGUAUUCCCAGUCAUGUGAUAUCCAUAAAUUAGAGCCUAAUUUAUUUAUUUCAACUGACUGAUUUCCUUAUAUGAACUGUAACUCAGUACAAUCGUUGAAAUUGUUGCAUGCUGCAUUUAUAUUUUUGUUUAGUAUAGAAUGUCAUGUUUUGGUCAUGGAGCAAAAGCACACACACUAUAAAUACAAAAGUAUGUGGACACCCCUUCAAAUUAGUGGAUUCGGCUUUAUCAGCCACACCCGUUGAGCAGAGCCAUGCAAUCUCCAUAGACAAACAUUGGCAGUUGAAUGGCCCGUACUGAAGAGCUCAGUGACUUUCAACUUGGCACCGUCACAGGAUGGCAACUUUCCAACAUCUCAGUUCGUCAAAUUUCUGCCCUACUAGAGCUGCCACGGUCAACUGUAAGUGCAGCUAUUGUGAAGUGGAAACAUUUAGGAGCAUAUAAAAGUAUUCAUCCCCCUUGGUGUUUUUCCUAUUCUGUUGCAUUACAACCUGUAAUUUAAAUGGAUUUUUAUUUAAUGCAAUGAACAUACACAAAAUAGUCCAAAUUGGUGAAGUGAAAUGAAAAAAAAAUUUAUUGUUUCAAAAAAUUAUAAAAUAUACAAAACGGAAAAGUGGUGCAUGAAUAUCUAUUCACCCCUUUGCUAUGAAGCCCCUAAAUAAGACCUUCAGAAGUCAUAAUUAGAUAAAUAAAGUCCACCUGUGUGCAAUCUAAGUGUCACAUGAUCUCUUUGAACAUCCCACGGAACACCAUUAAAUCCGUAAAAAAAUGAAAGAAUAUGGCACCACAACAAACCUGCCAAGAGAGGGCUGCCCACCGAAACUCACAGACAAGGCAAGGAGGGCAUUAAUCAGAGAGGCAACAAAGAGACCAAAGAUAAUCCUGAAGGAGCUGCAAAGCUCCACAGCGGAGAUUGGAGUAUCUGUCCAUAGGACCACUUUAAGCCAUACACUCCACAGAGCAGGGCAUUACAGAAGAAUGUCCAGAAAAAAGGCCAUUGCUUAAAUAAAAAAAUAAGCAACCAUGUUUGGUGUUCGCCAAAAGGCAUGUGGGAGACUUCCCAAACAUAUGGAAGAAGGUACUCUGAUGAGAUGAGAUGAAAAUGUUGCUUUUUGGCCAUCAAGCAAAACUCUAUGUCUGGCACAAACCCAACACCUCUCAUAACCCCGAGAUCACCAUCCAUGGUGGUGGCAGCAUCAUGCUGUGGGGAUGUUUUUCAUCGGCAGGGACUGGGAAACUAAUCAGAAUUUAAGGAAUGAUGGAUGGCGGUAAAUACAGGCAAAUUCUUGAGAGAAACCUGUUUCAGUCUUCCAGAGAUUUGAGACUGGGACAGAGGUUCACCUUCCAGCAGGACAAUGACCCUAAGCAUACUGCUAAAGCAACACUUGAGUGGUUUAAGGGGAAACAUUUAAAUGGCCUGGAAUGGCCUCAAUCCAAUUGAGAAUCUGUGUUAUGACUUAAAGAUUGCUGUACACCAGCGGAACCCAUUCAACUUGAAGGAGCUGGAGCAGUUUUGCCUUGAAAAAUGGGCAAAAAUCCCAGUGGCUAGAUGUGCCAAGCUCAUAGAGAUACCCCAAGAGACUUGCAGCUGUAUUUGCUGCAAAAGGUGGUUCUACCAAGUAUUGACUUGAGGGGGGGGGGGGGGUGAAUAGUUAUGCAUGCUCAAGUUGUCAAGUCCUCUUCUUGUUUGUUUCUGAUUAAAAAUAUUUUGCAUCUUCAAUGUGGCAGGCAUGUUGUGUAAAUCAAAUGAUAUAACCCCCCCCAAAUUCUAAUCUAUUUUAACUCCAGGUUGGAAGGCAAGACAAUAGGAAAAAUGCCAAGGGGGUGAAUACAUUCGCAAGCCACUGUAGUUAGUAUGUUACGGUUUUCUAGGUGUGAAGGAGAGUCGGACCAAAAUGCAGCGUGUAGAUUGCGAUCCAUAGACUGGGUUCGCACCCAGGCUCUGUCGUAACCGGCCACGACCGGGAGGUCUGUGGGGGACGCACAAUUGGCCUAGCGUCGUCCGGGUUAGGGAGGGCUUGGCCGGUAGGGAUGUCCUUGUCUCAUCGCGCACCAGCGACUAUAACAGUAUAUGGCCAAGAUGUUCAAAUGUUCAUAGAUGACUAGCAGGGUCAAAUAAUAAUCAUCACAGUGGUUGUAGAGGGUGCAACAAGUCAGCACCUCAGGAGUAAAUGUCAGUUGGCUUUUCAUAGCCGAUCAUUUAGAGUUAGAGACAGCAGGUGCGGUAGAGAGAGAGAGUGUCGAGAACCGCAGGUCCGGGACAAGGUAGCACGUCCAGUGAACAGGUCAGGGUUCCAUAGCCGCAGGCAAGCAAGGAGUCAUCAGGCCAGGUAGUCCUGAGGCAUGGUCCUAGGGCUCAGGUCCUCAGAGAAAAGGGGAGGAAAGAGAGAAAGAGAGAGAAUACUUAAAUUCACACAGGACACCGGAUAAGACAGGAGAAAUACUCCAGAUAUAACAGACUGAUCCUAUCCCCCCGACACAUAAACUAUUGCAGCAUAAAUACUGGAGGCUGAGACAGGAGGGGUCGGGAGACUCUGUGGCCCCGUCUGACGAUACCCCCGGACAGGGCCAACAAGGCAGGAUAUAACCCCACCCACUUUGCCAAAGCACAGCCCCCACACCACUAGAAGGAUAUCUUCAAACCACCAACUUACUACCCUGAGACAAGGCCGAGUAUAGCCCAUGAAGGUCUCCCCCACAACACGAACCCAAGGGGGGCGCCAACACGUACAGGAAAAUCAGCGACUCAAGUGACGCACCCUUCCUAGGGACGGCAUGGAAGAGCACAAGUAAGCCAGUGACUCAGCCCCCGUAAUAGGGUUUGAGAAGAGAAUCCCAGUGGAGAGAGGGGAACGGGCCAGGCGGAGACAGCAAGGGCAAUUCGUCGCUCCAGUGCCUUUCUGUUCACCUUCACACCCUGGGCCAGAGUACACUCAAUCAUAGGACCUACUUGAAGAGAUGAAUCUUCAAUAAAGACUUAAAGGCCGAGACAGAGUCUGCGUCUCUCACAUGGAUAGGCAGACCAUUCCAUAAAAAUGGAACUCUAUAUGAGAAAGCGCUGCCUCCAGCUGUUUGCUUAGAAAUCCUAGGGACAAUAAAGAGGCCUGCGUCUUGUGACCGUAGCGUACGUGUAGGUAUGUACGGCAGGACCAAAUCGGAAAGAUGGGUAGGAGCAAGCCCAUGUAAUGCUUUGUAGGUUAGCAGCAAAACCUUGAAAUCAGCCCUAGCCUUAACAGGAUGCCAGUGUAGAGAGGCUAGCAUUGGAGUAAUAUGAUCACAUUUUUAGGUUCUAGUCAAGAUUCUAGCAGCCGUGUUUACCACUAACUGAAGUUUAUUUAGUAUCCGGAAAGUAGAGCAUUGCAGUAGUCUAAUCUAGAAGUGACAAAAGCAUGGAUAAAUCUGGACAGAAAGUUUCUGAUUUUGGCAAUGUUACGUAGAUGGAAAAAAGCUGUCCUUGAAACAGUCUUGAUAUGUUCGUCAAAAGAGAGAUCAGGGUCCAGAGUAACGCUGAGGUCCUUCACAGUUUUAUUUGAGACAACUGUACAACCAUCAAAAUUAAUUGUCAAAUCCAAUAGAAGAUCUCUUUUUUCCUGGGACCUAGAACAAGUAUCUCUGUUUUGCCCGAGUUUAAAAGUAAAACAUUUGCCACCAUCCACUUCCUUAUGUCUGAAACACAGGCUUCCAGGGAGGGCAAUUUUGGGGCUUCACCAUGUUUCAUCGAAAUGUGAAAGUUAACAUUAUGUUUCCGAAUGACAUCACCAAGAGGUAAAAUUUAUAGUGAAAACAAUAGUGGUCCUACAACGGAACCUUGAGGAACGCCAACAUUUACAGUAGAUUUGUCAGAGGACAACCCUUCCACAGAGACAAACUGAUAUCUUUCAGACAGAAAAACUCUAAACCAGGCCAGAACUUGUUCGUGUAGACCAAUUUGGGUUUCCAAUCUCUCCAAAAGAAUGUGGCGAUCGAUGGUAUCAAAAGCAGUACUAAGGUCUAGGAGCACGAGGACAGAUGCAGAUCCUUGGUCUGAUACCAUUAAAAGGUAAUUUACCACCUUCACAAGUGCAGUCUCAGUGCUAUGAUGGGGUUUAAAACCAGACUGAAGCAUUUCAUAUACAUUGUUUGUCUUCAGGAAUUCAGUGAGUUGCUGCACAACAGCUUUUUCUCAACUUUUUCAACAACCUUUUUCAAAAAUGUUUGAGAGGAAUGGGAGAUUUGAUAUAGGCCGAUCAUUUUUAAUAUUUUCUAGGUCAAGGUUUGGCUGUUUCAAGGCUUGAAAGGCUCAUUACUACCACUUUUAGAGAGUUUGGUACACAUCCGGUGGAUAGGGUGGCAUUUACUAUAUUCAACAUAGGAGGGCCAAGCUCAUGAAGCAGCUCUUUCAGCAGUUUAAUUGGAAUCGGUUCCAGUAAGCAGCUUGAAGGUUUAGAGGCCAUUAAUAUUUUCAUUAAUGUGUCAAUAGAUAUAGGAUGAAAAAAACUUGAGUGUCUACCUUGAUCCUAGGCCCUGGCAGUGUUGUGCAGACUCAAGACAACUGAGCUUUGGAGAAAUAUGCAGAUUUAAGAGGAGUCCGUCAUUUGCUUUCUAAUGAUCAUGAUAUUUUUGCCGAAGAAGUUCAUGAAUUUAUCACUGCUGAAGUGAAAGCCAUCCUCUUGGGGAAUGCUUGUUUUUAGUUAGCUUUGUGACAGUAUCAAAAAUACAUUUUGGAUUGUUUUUAUUCUCCUCAAUUAAGUUGGAAAAUAGGAUGAUCGAGCAGCAGUGACUACUGCACGGUACUGUCUUUCCAAGCUAAUCAGAAGACUUCCAGUUUGAUGUAGUGCCAUUUCCAUUUCCAAUUAUCUGGAAGCUUGCUUCAGGGCUCGGGUAUUUUCUGUAUAUCAGGGAGCUAGUUUCUUAUGACAAAUGUUUUUUGUUUUUAGGGGUGUGACUGCAUCUAGGGUAUUACGCAAG